GAUGAACGCCGGCGGUGUGCCUAAUACAUGCAAGUCGUACGCACUGGCCCAACUGAUUGAUGGUGCUUGCACCUGAUUGACGAUGGAUCACCAGUGAGUGGCGGACGGGUGAGUAACACGUAGGUAACCUGCCCCGGAGCGGGGGAUAACAUUUGGAAACAGAUGCUAAUACCGCAUAACAACAAAAGCCACAUGGCUUUUGUUUGAAAGAUGGCUUUGGCUAUCACUCUGGGAUGGACCUGCGGUGCAUUAGCUAGUUGGUAAGGUAAUGGCUUACCAAGGCGAUGAUGCAUAGCCGAGUUGAGAGACUGAUCGGCCACAAUGGAACUGAGACACGGUCCAUACUCCUACGGGAGGCAGCAGUAGGGAAUCUUCCACAAUGGGCGCAAGCCUGAUGGAGCAACACCGCGUGAGUGAAGAAGGGUUUCGGCUCGUAAAGCUCUGUUGUUGGAGAAGAACGUGCGUGAGAGUAACUGUUCACGCAGUGACGGUAUCCAACCAGAAAGUCACGGCUAACUACGUGCCAGCAGCCGCGGUAAUACGUAGGUGGCAAGCGUUAUCCGGAUUUAUUGGGCGUAAAGCGAGCGCAGGCGGUUGCUUAGGUCUGAUGUGAAAGCCUUCGGCUUAACCGAAGAAGUGCAUCGGAAACCGGGCGACUUGAGUGCAGAAGAGGACAGUGGAACUCCAUGUGUAGCGGUGGAAUGCGUAGAUAUAUGGAAGAACACCAGUGGCGAAGGCGGCUGUCUGGUCUGCAACUGACGCUGAGGCUCGAAAGCAUGGGUAGCGAACAGGAUUAGAUACCCUGGUAGUCCAUGCCGUAAACGAUGAGUGCUAGGUGUUGGAGGGUUUCCGCCCUUCAGUGCCGGAGCUAACGCAUUAAGCACUCCGCCUGGGGAGUACGACCGCAAGGUUGAAACUCAAAGGAAUUGACGGGGGCCCGCACAAGCGGUGGAGCAUGUGGUUUAAUUCGAAGCUACGCGAAGAACCUUACCAGGUCUUGACAUCUUGCGCUAACCUUAGAGAUAAGGCGUUCCCUUCAGGGACGCAAUGACAGGUGGUGCAUGGUCGUCGUCAGCUCGUGUCGUGAGAUGUUGGGUUAAGUCCCGCAACGAGCGCAACCCUUGUUACUAGUUGCCAGCAUUGAGUUGGGCACUCUAGUGAGACUGCCGGUGACAAACCGGAGGAAGGUGGGGACGACGUCAGAUCAUCAUGCCCCUUAUGACCUGGGCUACACACGUGCUACAAUGGACGGUACAACGAGUCGCAAACUCGCGAGAGUAAGCUAAUCUCUUAAAGCCGUUCUCAGUUCGGACUGUAGGCUGCAACUCGCCUACACGAAGUCGGAAUCGCUAGUAAUCGCGGAUCAGCAUGCCGCGGUGAAUACGUUCCCGGGCCUUGUACACACCGCCCGUCACACCAUGGGAGUUUGUAACGCCCAAAGUCGGUGGCCUAACCUUUAUGGAGGGAGCCGCCUAAGGCGGGACAGAUGACUGGGGUG
rnacentral:rRNA from 1 species